GAUGAACGCUAGCGGGAGGCCUAAUACAUGCAAGUCGAGCGGUCAGCAAUGAUAGCGGCAGACGGGUGCGUAACGCGUAUGAAACUUGCCCCACACAGGAGGAUAGCCUUGGGAAACUGAGAGUAACCCUCCAUAGUCUUGAGUUGCCGCAUGGUAGCUUAAGUAAAACUUCGGUGGUGUGGGAUAGUCGUGCGUCCGAUUAGGUAGUUGGUAGUGUAAUGGACUACCAAGCCGACGAUCGGUAGCUGGUCUGAGAGGAUGAUCAGCCACACGGGCACUGAGACACGGGCCCGACUCCUACGGGAGGCAGCAGUAAGGAAUAUUGGACAAUGGACGGAAGGUCUGAUCCAGCCAU
rnacentral:rRNA from 1 species